UUUCUCCAGAUGAAGCUCGCUCACUCUCUCUCUCUUAUUCAAAAUUCAAAUUAAAUACAAAUGGGUUCUCUUGUAGAUUUUGAAUCACAGAUGUUCUUUGGAUCGUGUUCUGUGCGAGUGUGAAAAAAUGGCUACCAGGCGAUCCGUUAUCCAGUUGAAACCACCGGUGCCAGAAAUAUCGAUGCGAGUUCUUGUUGACUCAUGUACCACAGGCAAUCCUAAGGGUUAGCACCAUUCAAUUGUUGGUUUUGUUUUAGAGGAAUCAAAACAAUGGCAGAAAAUGCUUCCACCGUCUUCAAUGUUCACGUGCCGGAGUUUGUGGAUGCUAUUUGGGUUGCUCUGAGGGAUCCAACAUUGGCUGUUCGGGAGAAGGCUGUUGAGACAUUGCAUGCCUGCGUUCGUGUUAUUGAAAAGUGUGAGACAAGAUGGUGUGUUCAGUGGUAUUAUUGAAUGGUUAAGGCUACCCAAGAUGGAUCGGGUUGAAACGCUCAUGUUCAUAGUAUACAUGGAUCUCUUUUCGCAGUCGGGGAGCUGCCAAGGAACACAGGGGAGUUCAUUAUGUCAAGAUACAUGGAGGUUGCUGAAAUUGUUCUAAGAUACCUGGAGCACCGAGAUCACCUAGUUCGCCUCAGCAUAACUACUUUACUCCCUCCAAUAGCCCAUUUCAUGCGUGAUUGAUUUGUGACUAACUAUUUAACGAAUGUGCUAGUGGGUUCAUUGCUCUUGGGGAGAUGGCAGUUGCUCUAGAUGGUGAACUCAUUAACUAUUUGCCGAGAAUAACCUCUCACUUGCGUGAUGUGG